rnacentral:tRNA from 1 species
GGCCCGUUGGUCAAGUGGUUAAGACACCGCCCUUUCACGGCGGUAACAUGGGUUCAAAUCCCGUACGGG